GUCCUUUUGGAUUUUUAUUUAAGGUCUAGUCUGCCCACUGAAUUUAUAUUUUAAAUGGCCGCAGUAUUUUGACUGUGCAAAGGUAGCAUAAUCAUUAGUUUUUUAAUUAAAAGCUUGUAUGAAAGGCUGGACGAGGUAAGAUCUGUCUCUAUUUAAAUUAUAAUAGAAUUUAACUUUUAAGUUAAAAGGCUUAAAUAUUAUUAAAAGACGAGAAGACCCUAUAGAUCUUUAUAAUUUAUUAAAUAAUAUUAAUUUAGAAAUAUUUAUAUUUUAUUUAAUUUAAUUAUUUUAUUGGGGUAAUAGAAAGAUUGAAUUAAUUCUUUUUUAUUAUAAACAUUUAUUUAUGGGUGUUAAAUGAUCCAGUUUUACUGAUUAUAAGAUUAAGUUACCUUAGGGAUAACAGCGUAAUUUUUUUAAAGAGUUCAUAUCGAUAAAAAAGUUUGCGACCUCGAUGUUGGAUUAAAGAUUAUUUUAGGUGCAGAAGCUUAAUAAAUUUGGUCUGUUCGACCAUUAAAUCUUUAC
rnacentral:rRNA from 1 species